UACGAAGGGUGCAAGCGUUGUUCGGAAUUAUUGGGCGUAAAGGGUUCGUAGGCGGAACCGUAAGUCAAGUGUGAAAUCCCCGAGCUUAACUUGGGACGUGCACUUGAAACUGCGAUUCUUGAGUAUUGGAGAGGGUAAUGGAAUUGUUGGUGUAGGAGUGACAUCCGUAGAGAUCAACAGGAACACCAGAGGCGAAGGCGAUUACCUGGCCGAAGACUGACGCUGAGGAACGAAAGUGCGGGGAGCAAACAGG
rnacentral:rRNA from 1 species